UGGAGGUUUUCGUUCCCUUCUCAUCUCUAGUAUGUUGUGGGACACUCAUUGAGACUAUCUGAGCCGGUCAGUGUGGGGCAAAAGCACGUUAGGGCGGACUUUGACGCGGGGGGGGGCGGGCAGCUGCCCCAUACUUUUCGCUAGCUGAGCUGCUAGCUGAGCUGCUAAGCUGCCUGCCUGGCUAAAUACUGGAGCUAUGUCAAAAAUUCAUUUCUCCAUCACUCACAUGUAUGAAAUUACAUAUGGAAACAGACCCCAGGUUGAAAAAAAACGAAGUUCCGCUUUAAAUCAGCUGGGAUAGACUCCAGCCCGACUGCAGCCCUACUGAGGAUUAAGCAGUGUAUAGAUGAUGGAUGGUUAUAAAAUAACUGUUGAACAGCAGAAUGUUUUUUGACCUAUGGACUGUGUCUAUAUCAUAGCUUCACACAGACAAAAAUUGUCAGAGAACCAGAAAAGCUGAAAGAAAAAUAGAGAAAAUGUGGAUCAGUGGCCAACUAAAAAUCAGUGAAACACAGUUCGGCAGUAAUCAGGAGGUGAGCCAAUAAUCAGAGCUGCAGUGGCCAUCAUCAUAAACUGACAGCGCAGACAGCCAGCGGCUUGUACAAUCUAACUCCGAAAAACAGGAAGGCAUAUUCAACAGACUUGGCACAGUGGUUAUUUAUGGGAGUCACAGUUUCUGUAUCGGCUCAGUCAGAGUGAAGGACAGUGCAUUACAUCAACCUCUAUGGACAGCAGCCGAGACAAAAAAAACUCUACUUGCUCUUCCUCUUUUUGGCAAGACUGAACUAAAGAAUAUAAAAAGAAGCCUGAUAAAUAUUAAAAAAGCAUUCUCUGAGCAGGGCUGCACAGUGGGAGGUGGUUAGCAUCGCCGCCUUGCAGCUAGAAGAUCCCCGGUUCGUGUCCCGGCCUGGGUCUGGGAUCUUUCUGCAUGGCGUUUGCAUGUUCUCCCUGUACUUGGGUUUUCUCCAGGUUCUCCAGCUAAACCUGUAAACCUGACAGAGACUACCACACUGAACGCACAGUCCUGACAGUGAAUCUCAGAAGUGUGAUGAGGAGAUGGUUUUAUAUAUGGUCCCAUGCAGAGUCUUGAUAUAACGGGAAUGUUCUAGCAUGAUAAUGACCCAAAGCACACAAGAGAAGAACACAAAUAAAGCUAUGACCUGGCCAAGUCUGCUGUGGAGGUUUUCUCCAGCUGCCUCCCACAAUCCAAAGGCACGAAUGAUUGGUUAACUAGCAAUUCUAAUUUGCCUGUAAGAAUUCUUUCUCCACAUCGGUAUCCACAGUAACCCAACCUUACCCUAACCCUCACUAGUUUUGCCUUCCUAUAGCUUACCAAACACAAAUGGCUACAACCAAUCAACAGCUAAAAAUUCAAAAUAAUGCUGUGCAGGACUUAAGAAUUUAUGGGAUCACAAUCAAAAAACACCGCAGCAGUUGUCUUCUCAAGUUGUCAAAUAUCAGCACAAAAGAACUUUAGCAAAAAAAUUUAAAAAAAAAACAGCCCACAAAUGCUGUUAAAAAGAGUGCACAGAAAAACUCUAUUCAACCUAUUUCCUGCUCACUAAAAUAGAUUCCUUUGUGUACUCACAUAUUACUGCUGAAUCCAUUUAUUAUGAAGGUCACAACAUAUUGUGGUAUUCAAAAUAGUUUUGUUAUUGAGGUCAAACAGACUUGACCUCUCUUUAUGUGAUUUCUUUAGGACGACACCGAACAACUGAAAUCCUUAAAACCCUUUGGCAGUUUAGUGUGCCGCUCCUCUCAGCAUUGUCUCUUCUGUUCUUAUAUUGUAGCCUGCUGGGUUACUUACUCAUUCAACAUUCAUGUCUUGCUUUGCCUCAUCUUUGCAGCAGCGGGCUUGUGGAUUCUUUACCUUUGUGCUGCUGCUGAAUUCUUCUUGAUGGCGGUACAGUCUCGAUAAAGGCCAGGGGUUGAAUUUGUUGUGUAAGCAUUCCUCAGGGGAGCUAUUUUCUUUUGCCACCUACAUCUAUACCUCACUAAUUCAUGACCUGUCUAUAAAUGCUUUGUUAGUAACAAUGCCACCCCCGAAGCUACUGGCUUAAAGAUCAGAAUAAGAAGCGCUGUCAUUCGCAAAUUUCCUCUGACAAACACACAUAAUUACAGGAAUUAGUCCGCUAUUUUGUCAUUAGCCUUCACUUUCAAUGAGCCAAUAAUAAAAAGAGAAACAAGAGUCAGAGACAAAGACGGAUGUCUUUAGAGGAUUUCAAGACAAUUACUCCCCCCACUUCUUUGCCCACACAUUCAAUUUGCUAUUUUAUUAAUAUUAUUAAUAUAGUCAAGCUUCAAGCUUUGAAGCCGAGAGUUUUUCUUCUGAUUGGUAUUGUGUGAGCACUGAUGGCUUAGCUCAGGGAAAGUCAGCGUGAUUUCAAAUGCACUUUGUUAGUGCCAUGAUGAAAAUGGCAGCUCGCCUUUUUAAAGCCGUAUAUUUGCAAGCGUGAUUAUGGGGUGUGUGUUCAAAUAAAUGAAGCCAAAACAAUGACACACAAUCAGGACUUCAUAAGCCAGGGAAAGGCCACGGACAGAUUAAUAAGUGCUUUGUAGACAUACGUGCAUACACACAUGUACAUGCAAAGAACUUUUGGAAUUACAGAUAUAUGUGACACAGCAGACAAGAUUUUGUCCGGGACCAUUCUGUAUCCAAAUGAGCAGGAGAAAGCAGCGAUCCCACCAUGUAAUUUACUGUUGAUUUGUGUUUGCACAAAUGGAGCCUGAUGUCUUUCAACAUUAAUAAGGGUAAUAUUUACCCUCUCCUUGUCCUGACAGGCCUUGGCAGUGACGAACAGUUAGCUAUGUGAGGCAAGAGAAAGACAAGGGACGUUAAUUGUUGGACAUGUGAAGUAUCCCUCUUACUGCUGCUCUUGUUGAGCCUGUUAAAGUGACAGUAAUAACACUGAAGUAAUGGAACUAUAAAUAGCAAUGAAGUUGUCACUGAUGGUUUUAAGUGAAUUUAUGUAAAUUCUCCGUUUACUACAAAGACUAGUAAAUAAUGGAUGACUAUUGUAGGAUGCACUCACUUGUUUCAUCCCAGCUUACUGAUCUUUGGAGACUAUAGUUUUAGCGCAUUGACGAGCAAGCUGAGUGUCAUCAGUGUUGUUGGUCCUUUCAAAAUGUUUUUAAAACCAUCAUGUGGUGCCAAAUAUGAUACACCAACCAGACAGCAACAGUAUAACCACCAGCCUAAUCGUGUGUAAGUCCCCAUCAAGACCUGCAGUUGCAAGUUCAAGACCUCCUUGGAUCCACUGUUGUUUUUGAUGACUGAUUAAUUGCUGUAUUUAGAGAUAAUAGGCCUCUGUGGUCUCUUUCUACAAAAUGAAAAUAUGUUUUUCUAGUAUGGUCUUGGGCUGCACAGGUGGUUAGCACUUUCACCUUGCAGCUAGAAGAUCCCGGUUCAAAUCCCGGGGUGGGCCUAGGAUCUUUCUGCAUGGAGUUUGCAUGUUCUCCCUGUGCAUGCGUGGGUUUUCUCCGGGCACUCCGGCUUCCUCCCACAGUCCAAAAAUAUGCUGAGGUUAAUUGGUUACUCUAAAUUGCCCGUAAGUGUGAAUGUGAGUGUGAUUGUUUGUCUGUAUAUGUAGCCCUGCGACAGACUGGUGACCUGUCCAGGGUGUCCCCUGCCUUUGCCCGAGUCAGCUGGGAUAGGCUCCAGCACCCUCCGCGACCCUAGAGAGGAUAAAGCGGUGUAUAGAGAAUGGAUGGAUGGAUGUUUAGGCUCUUUAACCCAGCUGGAAAGCUGUAUAUACCUUCUCAUUUUGGACUGUUAACAUUCAAAUUAUGAUGGACUUGUUUCCUUGUUUAUGUGAAUUACAGCAUCAUUGCUGCAGCAUCUGCCUGUUAUGUAAAACUGUAAGCUCAACGACAGAAUCCUGAAGGCAGUUAAGUGAAAAAUAAUGUGCAAGAACAGCACGAUAUACAACCCUGUCAAUUUCCACUUCUUAGAAUGUUUACUGACAAUAAUCACACCUAAAAUAAGAAAUAAUAUUCUGUACUUUUAGCAACUAGUUCUAAGUUGUAAACCAUAAACAUCAUAGGGUUCUGUUUACUAAUCAGUCGAAAUCUAAAUGAGUACUUCCCAAUACACAGUGAACAACAACAAUCUGUACCCUUGAUCUGUGGUAAAAUAAUCUGAAAUGUUCUGUGCAGUAAUGUCAAUUUUAAAAUACAGUAAGUAGCACUCUAUACAUUUAACAAUAAACCUGAGAACAAUAAUAAACAGUAACAAUAUUCCAUAUUCUUAAGUCAUUUAAUAGUUCACAGCUCAGCAAACAUAGUGUUCUGCAUAGAAAUCACAAAAAGCUGCUCUCAAUAAUCUUUCACAGUGAGCAGAUGUUCUUGUGUUGCAGGUCCAUGGUCCAGACGUGGCCGUGGAAGAAAGCUGAAAAAGUGAAGGUUGCAGCAGGAAACGUCAACUACUCGAGUCCUCCAUGACUAGCUUGGAAAAUCCAAACUAAAUCUCCAUGUUCUCCUAUCUCCAUGUUAGGAGAUACAGGAGAAUCAGGUUGGCAUUGGGCGAAUUGAAUCGCGUUUCCCUCCAGGGAAAGUUUGGUACGACCAAUCAUAGCACGGGAGGCGGAAGUUAAUGCUGCGUCAUCUUCCGACGAUGAGGAGGCAGUGGAUGGCUCGUUACUUUCACCUUCUUGCCAUUGUUUGUACAGAGGAAAAUCCCGUUUCAAACGUUCUGUCCUCCGCAGAAGAGGAACCUGAAGGAUGAGAUAAAAAGCUCCACCCUGGUUGCACCGUACUUGGGAUUCAUGGGGUUCAGAAUGUGGUUGUUCCACCGAAACUUCACCUCCGUCACGUCACUCAAGUACUUGUCAGCAUCAAUCAGCAUCUCGUACCUCCGCCCAGGAUUCAGCAUACCCCUGGAGUGUCACAUUGUUCACUCAUUACAUGAACCUUUAGAUAUAGUAUAAUAAUAUGAUACUUAAUGAAAAUACUGCACAUUCACUGCAUAAACCCACUCUAGAAGACUCUGUGUAAAAGGAUCGUUUUUGAGUCAAAUUACAUGUAUUUUUAUUGAUUUUGUCUGCUUUGUGUAUCACUAACAUUUGAUCUCUAUGGAGAAAACAUGACAAAAGGCAAGCUGUGGCAAUGGAUUCUUCGUUUUCCAUUUAUGACAUACUCUGAAAUGUUUAGUUUAUUUUAAAAGCAUCAUCAAACUGCAGAAUACUUCUACAUUACUUAGUUUUAUGUAAAAUGGAAAAAGCAAGCCAUCACAUCAGAUCCGUUUGUCAGUCAUCUACUCCUUCUCAUACAGUACAGGAUGUUGGUCAGCCUUCAGCACCUGAGGAACAGGAACUCAUUUUCAUAUAUAAUUGGCUUUCUUCGACUAUUAAUGUAAUAAUGAUACAGGUGAAGGUUUUUGAUGUGUGAUUUAGACUGUGUGUAAUUAUCAUAGUUGAACUAAGCUCAGAGACUAUAAAAUAUAAAAUCACACGGAGGUUUCUACACCUUCACAUUUUA